AGAGCGAACGCUGGCGGCAGGCCUAAAACAUGCAAGUCGAACGGACCCUUCGGGGUUAGUGGCGGACGGGUGAGUAACACGUGGGAACGUGCCUUUUGGUUCAGAACAACUCAGGGAAACUUGAGCUAAUACUGAAUAAGCCCUACGGGGGAAAGAUUUAUCGCCAUUAGAGCGGCCCGCGUUGGAUUAGCUAGUUGGUGAGGUAAAGGCUCACCAAGGCUACGAUCCAUAGCUGGUCUGAGAGGAUGAUCAGCCACACUGGGACUGAGACACGGCCCAGACUCCUACGGGAGGCAGCAGUUAGGAAUCUUGCGCAAUGGGCGAAAGCCUGACGCAGCCAUGCCGCGUGAAUGAUGAAGGUCUUAGGAUUGUAAAAUUCUUUCAGCGGGGAAGAUAAUGACUGUACCCGCAGAAGAAGCUCCGGCUAACUUCGUACCAGCAGCCGC
rnacentral:rRNA from 1 species